rnacentral:rRNA from 1 species
UGAAGUUAAAAGCGUAACAAGGUCUCCGUUGGUGAACCAGCGGAGGGAUCAUUACCGAGUUUACAACUCCCAAACCCCUGUGAACAUACCUUAAUGUUGCCUCGGCGGAUCAGCCCGCGCCCCGUAAAACGGGACGGCCCGCCAGAGGACCCAAACUCUAAUGUUUCUUAUUGUAACUUCUGAGUAAAACAAACAAAUAAAUCAAAACUUUCAACAACGGAUCUCUUGGUUCUGGCAUCGAUGAAGAACGCAGCAAAAUGCGAUAAGUAAUGUGAAUUGCAGAAUUCAGUGAAUCAUCGAAUCUUUGAACGCACAUUGCGCCCGCUGGUAUUCCGGCGGGCAUGCCUGUUCGAGCGUCAUUUCAACCCUCAAGCCCCCGGGUUUUGUUGGGGAUCGGCUCUGCCCUUCUGGGCGGUGCCGCCCCCGAAAUACAUUGGCGGUCUCGCUGCAGCCUCCAUUGCGUAGUAGCUAACACCUCGCAACUGGAACGCGGCGCGGCCAUGCCGUAAAACCCCAACUUCUGAAUGUGACCUCGGAUCAGGUAGGAAUACCCGCUGAACUUAAUAUCAUAGGCCAGGAA